rnacentral:lncRNA from 1 species
AUGGGGUACCUAUGGGAGAGAUGCCCUCUAGGAGGACGUGCUCACUGCGCCCUAUGCCCCAGCCUCUCUGCUAAUGCCCGGCCCGACAGCCACCAAGCUGUGAGGAGUGACAAAGCUUUGUAUUCCUUACAGAGAUCUCAGACGCCCAGGCGACCCCUCCCCAGGGGAAGACCACAAGGGCUGUCAUCUCGGGUACCUGGAGGAAGCCCCAGGCUGCCCCGCCGGGUGGGGUUCUCAGGGCCAGGAUCCAUCAAGAACCAGAGAGUCGGGACCCCUGGGUGGCGCAGCGGUUUGGCGCCUGCCUUUGGCCCAGGGCGCGAUCCUGGAGACCCGGGAUCGAAUCCCACAUCGGGCUCCCGGUGCAUGGAGCCUGCUUCUCCCUCUGCCUAUGUCUCUGCCUCUCUCUCUCUCUCUCUCUGUGACUAUCAUAAAUGAAUAAAAAUUAAAAAAAAAAAAGAAAAAGAACCAGAGAGUCUGGAAGGGCCUUCUGGGUCAUUUGACCUAAGGAGUAAAGAUGCUCAGGGAGAAGCAGCAGAGACGCCGUGGGGGAGCCCCACAGACCACUGGUGUCUCACACACGAGCGUCCUAGGCCAGACCAGAUCUGUGCGGCCGCCGGGGGCCCGCAAUCCUCUAUACAAGGGGCUUGGGCCACCCCGGUUUGCAAGGGGAGGGCGACAGGACUGCAGCAGCAGAGAAGUGCACGGAUCUGUUAGGGUGGAGGGUGUCUUUGGGUGGCUGGGCGGGGGGCACACAUGGAGAUGAUAAAGGGGAUUAGCCCCUGCCCCCCAAACACCAUCAUAACCCACAGUAACCUCUGUCUUCUCCUCGUGGCCUCAGAGGGCCUCUGUCCCCGCAUCCAAAAAUGCCCUACCAAGAAAAUGUAAGAUCUAAUCCAGUGGUUCUCAGUCCUGCCAGACGUCAGCACGAGCCCCCAGUUGAAUCCAAAUCUCUGGAGGCGAGGCCUGGGGCUUCUUGAAGGUUCCCCAGGUGGUUCUGAGGAGCAGCCAGUGUGGAGAAAUGUUAGUCCACCCCCUGGGGCUGCCUGACACGCGGUGCGCCUACAGUGUGUCCUCAGCAACCUGCCCGCAGUGCCCUGGGUUGGGCCCAGUGCGUGGCAAAUACCCACCCAGAUAUGGGGGGGCCUGCCUGCCGGCUCCAGCGCGCAGCAUGCUGGUGUGCUUGCCCCAGCAGAGACUGAGCUGCACUUCCUACCUGAGUGGGGGGCCACCUGUGCACAUGGCCAGCGCUUCCCUGGGUUUCUCCUUCUGCUGUCCCCCUGAGCUCCAUGCACCAGGUGUGGACGCAGCACCUGCUGGAGGUGAGUCAAGCUCUCCAGGAGGAGUGCAGGGGGAUGGGGGGCCUCCUCCACUCAGCCCGGGGUUAUCUGCUCUCAGUCCGAGGCUGCAGCCUCUCCUCCAGGACUAACUGCCUUUAAGGACUGCCCUCCCCACCCCAGCAAAGGCCCACUGCCCCGCUGAACCCGGAGACCCCUCCUCCCCGACCCCCAGCUCUUUCUCAGCCCCCAGGUCCCAGCUGUCUGCAAGCUCAGGCAAAACCUGGACUCUCUUUCCAGAGCCACAUGCCAACGCACCACCUUUGACACAGCAGUGCCCCACCUGAGAGUCUACCCUAAGGGAAUAACCCUCAAAAACUGAAAAAGCUGGGCGGCCCCAGUGGCUCAGUGGUUUAAGUGCCACCUUCAGCCUGGGGUAUGAUCCUGGAGACCCGGGAUCGAGUCCCGCGUCGGCUCCCUGCAUGGAGCCUGCUUCUCCCUCUUCCUGUGUCUCUGCUCUCUCUCUCUGUUUCUCAUGAAUAAAUAAAUAAAAUCUUAAAACAAAAACUGAAAAAGCUCUUGGAACAAAGUAUUUCUGAAAGCAGGGAACUGGAAGCAGCUGGGGAGCAGCAGCACGCCCAUUGUAAAAGCUAAUUGUGAGCACGAUUGCAACACGGGGAAUCGCUAAAGAUACAGCGUUGAGUGCAAAAUUGCAUUGGGCGGGAGUUCAGCGGUGGAAAAGUUGUAUAUUUGCCCCUACAAGGGCCAGACGGGGAAAAAAAAAAAAGAGAAAAAAAAAAAAGAAAAGAAAACCAGUAUGCCCUUUAUUUUAAAAGGUUUGUGAUUGGGAGUGAUUUCUUUUUCUGAUUUCUGAACUUGUAAUAUUGUUUGUGCAAUAAAUAUUUGAAUGAAUAUUUAAUAAUAGUGAUUUUAUUAGUGCCUUGUUCAGGGAAGGCUGUUGAAGACGCCCAUUCAAGCUCAGGUGUAAAUGAGCACAGGUCCCCGUGUGGGCUGCCUCUGUGGACUAUUUGCAUUUGAAAGAAGCUAAAGUUUCAGACAAACAGUAGCAAUCGGGGCCUCCACAGACCUCCUGGUUUAGGGUCGCCACUUUGUGGGGCAGCCCAAGAAGGGACAGCUUACAGGUAACAGCCUCUGAGCCUCCCCUGCCCUGCACAUUAUGUUGUACAAUAAUAAGGACACCUGUGGGGUCACACGGGGACACUGAGCUGCGGGAAAGGUGUCACGGGUCCGCAGCUAGGAAAGGGCAGGGCUGGGAUCUGAACCCAGGUAGGGUUUAGCUAAGGGCAAGAGCCUCCUCCCCCCUCUGAGAUGGAGAGGUGGCAGGUGCUCUCUGGAGCCUUCUCAGAGGCAGCCUGGAUGGACAAGGACACUUGUUACCGGUCCGACAGGGACGAGGUGUUGCCUCCAGGGAGGAGGGGGGCUGAGCCUG